rnacentral:tRNA from 1 species
AAAGAUUUAGGAUAACAAGACCAAAGGCCUUCAAAGCCUUAAGCAGAAGUUUAAACCUUCUAAUCUUUGAA